rnacentral:rRNA from 1 species
UACGGAGGGUGCAAGCGUUGCUCGGAAUCAUUGGGCGUAAAGCGUACGCAGGCUGUUCGUUAAGUCGGGGUGUGAAAGCCCGGGGCUCAACCCGGGAACUGCGUCCGAUACUGGCAGGCUUGAAUUCGGGAGAGGGAUGCGGAAUUCCAGGUGUAGCGGUGAAAUGCGUAGAUAUCUGGAGGAACACCGGUGGCGAAGGCGGCAUCCUGGACCGAGAUUGACGCUGAUGCGCGAAAGCCAGGGGAGCAAACGGG